AAGACUAUACUUUCAGGGAUCAUUUCUAUAGUUUGUUACUAGAGAAGUUUCUCUGAAGUUGUAGGGUACCCAAGACCACGAGGAGGAGGCGUAGUAUUCCUUCCUGAGCGUGAAGCUGAUCCUGAGUGUUGUGUAUGCAGCAGCUCUUGAUCAUUGAUGAUCGUUCUUCCUCUGUCUUGUAGAGGUUAGAGGGGAGGAAUACCGUCUGAGUGG
rnacentral:snoRNA from 1 species